rnacentral:lncRNA from 1 species
AUGGCUCUAAAACGGAUCCAGAAGGAACUGACUGAUUACAGAGGGAUCCCCCUGCUCAGUGUUCUGCGGGACCUGUGGGUGAUGACUGUCCCACUGGCAGGCCGCCAUCAUGCGCCCGAAUGACAGUCCUUACCAAGGAGGGGUUUUUUCCCGACCAUCCACUUCCCUACAGAUUAUCCUUUCAAGCCCCCAAAGGUUGCUUUCACUACCAGAAUCUAUCACCCUAAUAUCAACAGCAAUGGCAGCAUUUGCCUGGACAUCCUGAGGUCACAGUGGUCCCCAGCACUGACUGUGUCUAAAGUUCUCCUGUCUAUCUGCUCUCUGCUCUGCGACCCCAACCCUGAUGACCCACUCGUGCCAGAAAUAGCCCACACUUACAAGGCCGACAGAGCGAAGUAAAACAGACUAGCAAGAGAGUGGACACAGAAAUAUGCUAUGUAA